CCUACGGGAGGCAGCAGUGGGGAAUAUUGCACAAUGGGCGAAAGCCUGAUGCAGCGACGCCGCGUGAGGGAUGACGGCCUUCGGGUUGUAAACCUCUUUCAGUAGGGACGAAGCGCAAGUGACGGUACCUACAGAAGAAGCACCGGCCAACUACGUGCCAGCAGCCGCGGUAAUACGUAGGGUGCGAGCGUUGUCCGGAUUUACUGGGCGUAAAGAGCUCGUAGGCGGUUUGUCACGUCGUCUGUGAAAACCCGAGGCUUAACCUCGGGCCUGCAGGCGAUACGGGCAGACUUGAGUACUGUAGGGGAGACUGGAAUUCCUGGUGUAGCGGUGGAAUGCGCAGAUAUCAGGAGGAACACCGGUGGCGAAGGCGGGUCUCUGGGCAGUAACUGACGCUGAGGAGCGAAAGCGUGGGUAGCGAACAGGAUUAGAUACCCGGGUAGUCA
rnacentral:rRNA from 1 species